AGAGUUUGAUCCUGGCUCAGGAUGAACGCUAGCGGCAGGCCUAACACAUGCAAGUCGAGGGGUAACAUGGAGUGCUUGCACUCCGAUGACGACCGGCGCACGGGUGCGCACCGCGUAUGGAACCUGCCCUUUGCAGGGGAAUAGCCCAGAGAAAUUUGGAUUAAUGCCCCGUGGUACCGUAACCUCUCCUGAGGACUCGGUUAAAGCCUUCGGGCGGCAAAGGAUGGCCAUGCGUCCCAUUAGUUAGUUGGUAAGGUAACGGCUUACCAAGACCGCGAUGGGUAGGGGCCCUGAGAGGGGGAUCCCCCACACUGGUACUGAGACACGGACCAGACUCCUACGGGAGGCAGCAGUGAGGAAUAUUGGACAAUGGGCGGGAGCCUGAUCCAGCCAUGCCGCGUGCAGGAAGAAUGCCCUAUGGGUAGUAAACUGCUUUUAUACGGGAAGAAAAAGGGCCACGAGUGGCCUGUUGACGGUACCGUAAGAAUAAGGACCGGCUAACUCCGUGCCAGCAGCCGCGGUAAUA
rnacentral:rRNA from 1 species